rnacentral:rRNA from 1 species
ACAACUUUCAGUAACGGAUCUCUUGGCUCUCGCAUCGAUGAAGAACGCAGCGAAAUGCGAUAAGUAAUGUGAAUUGCAGAAUUCAGUGAAUCAUCGAAUCUUUGAACGCACCUUGCGCUCCUUGGUAUUCCGAGGAGCAUGCCUGUUUGAGUGUCAU